CCUACGGGAGGCAGCAGUGGGGAAUAUUGCACAAUGGGGGAAACCCUGAUGCAGCGACGCCGCGUGAGUGAAGAAGUAUUUCGGUAUGUAAAGCUCUAUCAGCAGGGAAGAAAAUGACGGUACCUGAUUCAGAAGCCCCGGCUAACUACGUGCCAGCAGCCGCGGUAAUACGUAGGGGGCCAGCGUUAUCCGGAUUUACUGGGUGUAAAGGGAGCGUAGACGGCAGCACAAGUCUGGAGUGAAAUGCCGGGGCUUAACCCCGGAACUGCUUUGGAAACUGUGCAGCUAGAGUGCAGGAGAGGUAAGUGGAAUUCGUAGUGUAGCGGUGAAAUGCGUAGAUAUUAGGAGGAACACCAGUGGCGAAGGCGGCUUACUGGUCUGUAACUGACGCUGAGGUUCGAAAGCGUGGGUAGCAAACAGGAUUAGAUACCCGAGUAGUC
rnacentral:rRNA from 1 species